rnacentral:rRNA from 1 species
UGAGGAAUAUUGGUCAAUGGAGGCAACUCUGAACCAGCCAUGCCGCGUGCAGGAAGACUGCCCUAUGGGUUGUAAACUGCUUUUAUACGGGAAGAAACAGUCGUACGUGUACGGCCUUGACGGUACCGUAAGAAUAAGCACCGGCUAACUCCGUGCCAGCAGCCGCGGUAAUACGGAGGGUGCAAGCGUUAUCCGGAAUCAUUGGGUUUAAAGGGUCCGCAGGCGGUCAAUUAAGUCAGAGGUGAAAUCCUACAGCUUAACUGUAGAACUGCCUUUGAUACUGGUUGACUUGAGUUAUACGGAAGUAGAUAGAAUGUGUAGUGUAGCGGUGAAAUGCAUAGAUAUUACACAGAAUACCGAUUGCGAAGGCAGUCUACUACGUAUAUACUGACGCUCAUGGACGAAAGCCAGGGGAGCGAAAGGG